UACGCCCGAUCUCGUCCGAUCUCGGAAGCUAAGCAGGGUCGGGCCUGGUUAGUACUUGGAUGGGAGACCGCCUGGGAAUACCAGGUGCUGUAAGCUUGCUUACGGCCAUACCAGCCUG
rnacentral:rRNA from 2 species